rnacentral:lncRNA from 1 species
CUUACAAUUUUAAAGUACAAUAAGUUCAGCCCUUAAAGGUGGAAUUCAUCAAAUUUACAUCUUGGAUCCGCAUUUUAUGUGCUGGAGCCCGUUCAACACUAUUGUGCGGUACAUCUUCAAUCCAUUUCAGCGGCUGCAUCAAGUUUGAGUCUAUGUGUCUAUUGGUGCAGGUGAUUCCUACCUUAAACCAUAUGUGAUACCAGAUCCUGAAGUCAAGGUGAGCAAAAGGACUGAUGCAGAUGAGUUCUUAAUACUUGCAAGUGACGGACUAUGGGAUGUCAUACCAAACGAUGUUGCAUGUGACAUUACAACUUCUCUAAUUAUAACUUCUCUAAUUUUUUUACAUCUUUUAUUAUAUUUGUUGGUGCGAUUUAUGAAAAAAAAAUUCAUCUUUUUUCUAGUUGUAGCCUGGAAGAGAAAGCUUUAAAGAAGUUAUUCAAAUGGGUCAAUUUCUUUUUCUCUUUUAUUACUAUUAUGUAGUUUCACAACUUCAAGUUGCAUUUUUUAUACUUAGUACAUCGGUAUAUCUAUGGGAUGUCAUUCCAAACGAUGUUGCAUGUGACGUUACAAGAAGAUGCUUGAAUGGUCAAAUGAGGAGGUGCUCUCAACAAAGCAGAUUCCAUAACACAGAUGCAAUAGAUGAGCAGUCAAGUGAAGUCAGGAA